UCCCAGGACCCUGAGAUCAUGACCUGAGCCGAAGGCAGAAGCUUAACCCACUGAGCCCCCCCAGGCGCCCUGAACUUUACUCCUCUUAUGGCUGCAAAACCUCCCCCUGCAGGAACAGACCACAUUUCGCUUAUUCAGUUCAAAAUACUUCCUAACUUCCCUGCAGGUCCCCUUGCCAACAGGUUUUUAUUUGACCCAUCGGCUCUACAGGAUACACUCUUUAGUGUCCAGCUUCCAGAUCACGCACUUCCCAAAGCGCUGCUGGGGAAGCGGGCGCCGCCCACGACGAAGCCACCUGCUUCCGCUGCUUGGCCAGUGUCUGCUCGGGAUCCGUCUUUCUUGGUUUGCCAGGCCAGCUCCUGCCACUUGUUCAUGCACUUUUCUGCUUCCAAAACACAGUGCUCAUUCUCUCUGUCCUUGUGGGUGUUCUUAUUUUUAUUGUGGUAAAAUAAACACUAGAUAAAAUUUACCACUAUAACCAUUUAUCCUUGUAGAGUUCAAAGGCAUUAAGUGCAAUCACUGUGGAGUGACUAGCAGCACCCUCCACCUCCAGAACUUCUCACCAGGUCAAGUGCAAGUACCCA